AACGGACGCUGGCGGCAUGCCUAACACAUGCAAGUCGAACGGGAUCCGGACUUCGGUCCGGUGAGAGUGGCGGACGGGUGAGUAACACGUGGGAACCUGCCUUUUGGUUCGGGAUAACCGCGGGAAACUGCGGCUAAUACCGGAUGCUCCCGAGAGGGAAAAGAUUUAUCGCCAGAAGAGGGGCCCGCGUCCGAUUAGGUAGUUGGUGGGGUAAUGGCCUACCAAGCCGACGAUCGGUAGCUGGUCUGAGAGGAUGAUCAGCCACACUGGGACUGAGAUACGGCCCAGACUCCUACGGGAGGCAGCAGUGGGGAAUAUUGGACAAUGGGGGCAACCCUGAUCCAGCAAUGCCGCGUGAGUGAUGAAGGCCUUAGGGUUGUAAAGCUCUUUCGCCAGGGAAGAUGAUGACUGUACCUGGAGAAUAAGCCCCGGCUAAACUUCGUGCCAGCAGCCGCGGUAAU
rnacentral:rRNA from 1 species